rnacentral:misc_RNA from 1 species
GAUGAAGAACGCAGCGAAAUGCGAUAAGUAAUGUGAAUUGCAGAAUUCAGUGAAUCAUCGAAUAUUUGAACGCACAUUGCGCCCGCCAGUAUUCUGGCGGGCAUGCCUGUUCGAGCGUCAUUACAACCCUCAGGCCCCCGGGCCUGGCGUUGGGGAUCGGCGGAGCCCCCCGUGGGCACACGCCGUCCCCCAAAUGCAGUGGCGGUCCCGCCGCAGCUUCCAUCGCGUAGUAGCUAACACCUCGCGACUGGAGAGCGGCGCGGCCACGCCGUAAAACACCCAACUCUUCUGAAGUUGACCUCGAAUCAGGUAGGAAUACCCGCUGAACUUAAGCAUAUCAAUAAGCGGAGGA